UACGAAGGGGGCUAGCGUUGUUCGGAAUUACUGGGCGUAAAGGGCGCGUAGGCGGUUUUGUAAGUCAGGAGUGAAAUCCCCAGGCUCAACCUGGGAAUUGCUUUUGAGACUAUAGAGCUUGAGUGCGAGAGAGGUGAGUGGAAUUCCCAGUGUAGAGGUAAAAUUCGUAGAUAUUGGGAGGAACACCAGUGGCGAAGGCGGCUCACUGGCUCGUAACUGACGCUGAGGCGCGAAAGCGUGGGGAGCAAACAGG
rnacentral:rRNA from 1 species